UACGUAGGGGGCGAGCGUUGUCCGGAAUUAUUGGGCGUAAAGAGCGUGUAGGCGGUUCGGUAAGUCUGUCGUGAAAUCCUGGGGCUCAACCCCGGGCGUGCGAUGGAUACUGCCGGGCUAGAGGGUGGUAGAGGCGAGUGGAAUUCCCGGUGUAGCGGUGAAAUGCGCAGAUAUCGGGAGGAACACCAGUGGCGAAGGCGGCAUCCUGGACCGGUAUUGACGCUGAGGCGCGAAAGCUAGGGGAGCAAACGGG
rnacentral:rRNA from 1 species